rnacentral:rRNA from 1 species
GACGAACGCUGGCGGCGUGCUUAACACAUGCAAGUCGAACGGAAAGGCCCUGCUUUUGUGGGGUGCUCGAGUGGCGAACGGGUGAGUAACACGUGAGUAACCUGCCCUUGACUUUGGGAUAACUUCAGGAAACUGGGGCUAAUACCGGCUAGGAGCUCCUGCUGCAUGGUGGGGGUUGGAAAGUUUCGGCGGUUGGGGAUGGACUCGCGGCUUAUCAGCUUGUUGGUGGGGUAGUGGCUUACCAAGGCUUUGACGGGUAGCCGGCCUGAGAGGGUGACCAGCCACAAUGGGACUGCGAGACGGCGCAGACUCGUACGGGAGGCAGUAGUGGAGAAUAUUGCACAAUGGGCGGAAGCGUGAUGCAGCAACGCCGCGUUCGGGAUGACGGCUUUCUGGUUGUAAACCGCUGUCGCCUGUGACGAAGCGUGAGUGACGGUAAUGGGUAAAGAAGCACCGGCUAACUACGUG